GGUGAACGCUGGCGGCGUGCUUAACACAUGCAAGUCGAACGGGAAUUACUUUAUUGAAACUUCGGUCGAUUUAAUUUAAUUCUAGUGGCGGACGAGUGAGUAACGCGUGGGUAACCUGCCUUAUACAGGGGGAUAACAGUCAGAAAUGGCUGCUAAUACCGCAUAAGCGCACAGAGCUGCAUGGCUCAGUGUGAAAAACUCCGGUGGUAUAAGAUGGACCCGCGUUGGAUUAGCUUGUUGGUGGGGUAACGGCCCACCAAGGCGACGAACCAUAGCCGGCCUGAGAGGGUGAACGGCCAAGUUGGGACUGAGAACCGGCCCAGACUCCUACGGGAGGCAGCAGUGGGGAAUAUUGCACAAUGGGGGAAACCCUGAUGCAGCGACGCCGCGUGAAGGAAGAAGUAUCUCGGUAUGUAAACUUCUAUCAGCAGGGAAGAUAGUGACGGUACCUGACUAAGAAGCCCCGGCUAACUACGUGCCAGCCGCCGCCGUAA
rnacentral:rRNA from 1 species